rnacentral:lncRNA from 1 species
GGCUCAAAUGAAUUAUAAUUGCUACUUAGAAGAGUAUUUAAAUCAAAAGCCCAAAUCUAUAAAUAAAUUAGAGCCCAAACAUUAAAACCACCUUAGCCCAAGCCCACUCUAUCUCUUCCUGACUUUAAAUUAAAACUCACACACCACAACACCCUCAGAAACACACACACCCCCAGCCGUUCUCUCCUCUCUCACCUGCUCACUUCUCGGUCUUCCUCCUGCCACCGCCACCAGACGGCAACGCCGCCGCCGGAGCCGGCGGCCCUGCCUCCUCUCCCUUCCCCCUUCUCCCUAUCUCCCUUUUUUCCUUCAUCUCUCGUCUUCUUCGACUCUCUCCCUCUCUGUCGUUCUCCCUCUGUUUCUCCUCCCACAACAGCGCCCAGCCGCGGCCGCCUCCUUCUUCGACGUCAUUCUCCGCCAGCCGCCGCCUGUUCCUACCCGACACCGCCCUCACCUUCUCCCUCUUCAGCCGACAGCGUGGCCACCCUCGCCACCCCGAGACAGAGAGCAGCGGUUGGUCAGGCCGCCUCCCACCAUCCCAGAUCCGGCGCUGCUGCUGCUGUACUUCUUCUUCAUCGCCGGCCGCCACCCCGGCUUCUCUCCGCCGGCCGCUGUGUGCGCAUGCAGCGCACGGCGCCGACUGCCCUCUUCUCUAUCCCUAUUCCUCUUUCCACCUCUUCUAUUUCUUCUCUGUUUUUCUAAAUUUGUUGUAAAUUAAUGAAAAUGUUAUUCUUCAAUUGUAGGGCUUUUGAUUCUUUUGAAAAUUUGGGAAUUUACAAAGAAAACAGAAAUUAUUGCAUAUGAGUAUUAAACUUACAGAAAAUAUUAAAAUUACCGAUUGAUGACGUGCAGUGAGAAAUGGCAGA